rfam:Triticum aestivum genome assembly, contig: Triticum_aestivum_CS42_TGACv1_scaffold_030780_1BL
AAUGUCCUCCCUCCGUCCGAAAAUACUUGUCGGAGAAAUGGAUGUAUCUCGAUGUAUUUUAGUUUUACAUACAUCCAUUUUUAUCCAUUACUCCGACAAGUAUUUUGGGACGGAGAGAGUAAUAA